rnacentral:rRNA from 1 species
AAUCCCUACGGGGGGCAGCAGUGGGGAAUAUUGCACAAUGGGGGAAACCCUGAUGCAGCGACGCCGCGUGAAGGAAGAAGUAUUUCGGUAUGUAAACUUCUAUCAGCAGGGAAGAAAAUGACGGUACCUGACUAAGAAGCCCCGGCUAACUACGUGCCAGCAGCCGCGGUAAUACGUAGGGGGCAAGCGUUAUCCGGAUUUACUGGGUGUAAAGGGAGCGUAGACGGAUGUGCAAGUCUGAUGUGAAAGGCGGGGGCUCAACCCCUGGACUGCAUUGGAAACUGUAAAUCUUGAGUGCCGGAGAG